rnacentral:rRNA from 1 species
UACGGAGGAUCCAAGCGUUAUCCGGAAUCAUUGGGCUUAAAGGGUCCGUAGGCGGUCUAUUAAGUCAGUGGUGAAAGCCCAUCGCUCAACGAUGGAACGGCCAUUGAUACUGUUAGACUUGAAUUAUUGGGAAGUAACUAGAAUAUGUAGUGUAGCGGUGAAAUGCUUAGAUAUUACAUGGAAUACCAAUUGCGAAGGCAGGUUACUAUCAAUAUAUUGACGCUGAUGGACGAAAGCGUGGGGAGCGAACAGG